rnacentral:rRNA from 1 species
AUGUGUUUAAUCUGGUUGAGAAUAAUCCACUACCUAAAGGGAUCAAGAUCUUUAAAAUAUUAUUGUUUGUUCAAAGGUUGUUUGUUUUGUUAUCAGUUAGAAAUUCUAUUGCAAGUUCCUUGCUUAUAUGUGCAUGUUCGUCAGCAAUUAGAGAAAAAAGGGGGUGAAAGGGUCGCUUAUCAAUCUGGCACCGCACAAACUUCCUCUCAGGAGGUGCCACCAGGUGGCUCCCCAACCCCUAGUGAGGGUUCAAAAGGAACAAGCUCGGGCGUUGUAUGGACGUGUCCAUGGAUAUAUAAGGGACAAGAUUUUCUUGUAGAUGUUCUCACCACAUGA